UUUGAAGAAACAGGAAGAAAAAA
rnacentral:piRNA from 1 species